rfam:Gossypium arboreum cultivar AKA8401 contig_84263_1, whole genome shotgun sequence.
AUGCUGUUAUGAGGGCACUUUCGCGGUAACUCAUUGAACCGCUCCCACGCCUCAUAUAAAGAUUCUUCAUCAAGUUGUUGAAAUGAAGUGAUUUCAUAUCGGAUCUU